rnacentral:ncRNA from 1 species
GGUCCUAAACUUGCUGCUGUUUUUGAUUAAAAUUACACAUGUAAGUAUCCGCAAACCGGUGAAUACGCCCCAUAAAGAAAAAAGGAGCAGAUAUCAGGCACGAAAUUCAGCCCAAAACAUCUCGCCAUGCCACACCCCCACGGGAUUUCAACAGUGAUAAACAUUAAGCUAUAAGCGAUACCACUAAAGCUUGACUUAGUUAUAAUCAACUUGGGCCGGCUAAUCUCGUGCCAGCCGCCGCGGUUAUACGAGAGACCCAAACAGCAAUCCAACGGCGUAAAUUGUGACUAGACUCCCACCCAAAAAUAAGAAGAAAACCUUUAUCAGUACGUAAAAUAAAGAUAAAAAUGAAUCUUCUUAAUUUAAGUACUUUGAACUCACGAGGGCUAAGAAACAAACUAGGAUUAGAUACCCUACUAUGCUCAGCCAUAAAAAGACAUUACUUAACAAAAUGUCCGCCAGAGAAUUACAAGCGAAAAGCUUAAAACUCAAAAGACUUGGCGGUACCCCAUACCCGACUUAGAGGAGCCUGUCCUAUAAUCGAUAACCCACGCUAAACCCAACCACCUUUUGCAAACCCGCCUAUAUACCACCGUCGAAAAUCUACCUCACAAGAGAAUUAUCGUAGGUAAAAUAGUUAAACACUAAAACGUCAGGUCAAGGUGUAGCUUAUAAGGUGGAAGAGAUGGGCUACAUUUUUUAAUUUUAAAACACACAGAAAGGUCAUGAAAUACCCAAUAAAGGAGAAUUUAACAGUAAAAUUAGUAAAGAUACCAAUUUUAAGCCCGCUCUGGAGUGCGCACACACCGCCCGUCACCCUCCU